GAUGAACGCUGGCGGCGUGCUUAACACAUGCAAGUCGAACGAACCUUCGGGUUAGUGGCGGACGGGUGAGUAACGCGUGAGAAUCUGCCCUCAGGAGGGGGAUAACAGCUGGAAACGGCUGCUAAUACCCCAUAUGCCGCGAGGUGAAAUGAAUUUCGCCUGAGGAUGAGCUCGCGUCUGAUUAGCUAGUUGGUGUGGGUAAUGGCUCACCAAGGCAUCGAUCAGUAGCUGGUCUGAGAGGAUGAUCAGCCACACUGGGACUGAGACACGGCCCAGACUCCUACGGGAGGCAGCAGUGGGGAAUUUUCCGCAAUGGGCGAAAGCCUGACGGAGCAACGCCGCGUGAGGGAUGAAGGCCUCUGGGCUGUAAACCUCUUUUAUCAAGGAAGAAGAUCUGACGGUACUUGAUGAAUAAGCCACGGCUAAUUCCGUGCCAGCAGCCGCGGUAAUACGGGAGUGGCAAGCGUUAUCCGGAAUUAUUGGGCGUAAAGCGUCCGCAGGCGGCCCUUCAAGUCUGCUGUUAAAAAGUGGAGCUUAACUCCAUCAUGGCAGUGGAAACUGAGGGGCUUGAGUGUGGUAGGGGCAGAGGGAAUUCCCGGUGUAGCGGUGAAAUGCGUAGAUAUCGGGAAGAACACCAGUGGCGAAGGCGCUCUGCUGGGCCAUCACUGACGCUCAUGGACGAAAGCCAGGGGAGCGAAAGGGAUUAGAUACCCCUGUAGUCCUGGCCGUAAACGAUGAACACUAGGUGUCGGGGGAAUCGACCCCCUCGGUGUCGUAGCCAACGCGUUAAGUGUUCCGCCUGGGGAGUACGCACGCAAGUGUGAAACUCAAAGGAAUUGACGGGGGCCCGCACAAGCGGUGGAGUAUGUGGUUUAAUUCGAUGCAACGCGAAGAACCUUACCAGGGUUUGACAUCCUGCGAAUCUCUUGGAAACGAGAGAGUGCCUUCGGGAACGCAGUGACAGGUGGUGCAUGGCUGUCGUCAGCUCGUGUCGUGAGAUGUUGGGUUAAGUCCCGCAACGAGCGCAACCCACGUCUUUAGUUGCCAGCAUUUAGUUGGGCACUCUAGAGAGACCGCCGGUGAUAAACCGGAGGAAGGUGUGGAUGACGUCAAGUCAUCAUGCCCCUUACAUCCUGGGCUACACACGUACUACAAUGCUACGGACAAAGGGCAGCAAGUUCGCGAGGACAAGCAAAUCCCAUAAACCGUGGCUCAGUUCAGAUCGUAGGCUGCAACUCGCCUACGUGAAGGAGGAAUCGCUAGUAAUCGCAGGUCAGCAUACUGCGGUGAAUACGUUCCCGGGCCUUGUACACACCGCCCGUCACACCAUGGAAGUUGGCCACGCCCGAAGCCGUUACUCCAACCCUUGUGGAGGAGGACGUCGAAGGUGGGGCUGAUGACUGGGGUGAAGUCGUAACAAGGUAUCCGUACCGGAAGGUGCGGAUGGAUCACCUCCUAACAGGGAGACAAAACAAUGAUUUUGAUGUCUGAGUAUUUUAUUCUUAGGCCGAAAUCCUGUCACCUUAGGUCGAUCGGUACCUCAACAUUAUUUCAAAGAUUGAUGAGCAAUCAUCGAGAGAUUGAAAGAGAUGUUCAGUUCCUAAACUUUGUCUAGGUCACACCCCGCAAGGGAAGAGUCCCCUGGGCCAUUAGCUCAGGUGGUUAGAGCGCACCCCUGAUAAGGGUGAGGUCCCUGGUUCAAGUCCAGGAUGGCCCAUUCGGUGUUGGGGGUUUAGCUCAGUUGGUAGAGCGCCUGCUUUGCAAGCAGGAUGUCAGGAGUUCGGGUCUCCUAACCUCCACUGACCGAACUCAAUCUCCAUUGUCCGGUAACUCGGAGGAUGAACUCGAAGGAGUGUGAUUUAGAUGUGUCCACUAGAUUGGACCCCAGCUUCCUGUCAUUCCAGAUCAGUAAAAAUUACUUGAUCGGUUGAUAAGAUGCUGGGCUCAGAUUAAUCGCAAGAUUAAUUUGAUGUCUAGUAGAACCUUGACAACUGCAUAGGUAAGUCUGGAAAAACAAAGCAUCUUACAGAUGCAUUGUUUUCAGUUUAAAUUCUCGAAAGGGAAUUUAAAUUUAGAACAAUGAAAAUUCUUUUGAGCAAGAGCCGAGACUCUUAAAUGUUCUUUGAUUCGUGUCGAGCGAAUCAGAGUUUGAUUUUGUUUUUAUGAGCAACGAAAGUUGUUGAUGAAACCAGAAGAAUCUGCUUUCAACCGCAGUAAGCGUUUAAGAGGUUAAUUGGUCAAGCUACAAAGGGCUCACGGCGGAUACCUUGGCACACAGAGGCGAUGAAGGACGUGGUUACCUGCGAUAAGUCUCGGGGAGCUGGAAGCACGCUUUGAUCCGGGAAUUU
rnacentral:rRNA from 1 species